rnacentral:lncRNA from 1 species
CAAUAACACCUGUGAUCUUUUUACAGGCACACACAGUGGGUUAUUAGUUAAAACAGUUUAGUUAUUAAGAAUGCUAUAAACAUAACUAAAAUUAACUAGUUAUACUCUAUAAUAGAGAACUACUUUUUAAUUGGUUACAAAUACUUUUCUAUAACAUAUCUACAAAAGUUACAGUAUCAUUUCUAUAGUACAUUUCUAUUCUACCACAGAAUCACUCUUCCACGUUUUGAAUAAGCCUAUAAUUAACAAAUUUAAAAAAAGGAAAAUGAGAAGAACCACCAUAUGCAAAUUUAAUAAGCCUCAGGGCCUCAAAAAAAAACAACAAAAAAAACAAAAAAACAACGAAACCCUUUUGUAGUACAUUAAAACAACAAACAAACACAUCCCAAUCAAACCAACAACAGAAAAAAUAUAUAGCAAUAAAGUAAAACACAACUAAUACCCUUUUUUACAAAGCACAGACCUUAGGGCUGCACCGAAGCAAUAAAUAGUUUGAGACUUCCCCACCUGUGUCCAAUCUGCAGUUAGUCAUUAGAGUUCUAAAGGCAGCACGUGGAAGCGCUCCCACUAUUCCGUCUGUGAGCGUGAGAUGGCAUGGAGGUGCCUACAGCUGUUGGACUGUCACUCAAUCUAUACUACACCUCAUUGUGCCCAGGAGGGGUACAUCUAUGUCUCAGGCUGUGUGAGGAUGCCAAGACUCUUCACAGGACCAAGGCAUUGCUCCACUUCUACUGAGUCCUUGGGGGCAUGGCUCUCCACUAAAACAGAUGAAAUGCAGAGGUUUUCUUCUAUACGCCCACUCAUCCGGCAGGUUACCAAGCACCAGAAGAAAAAAAAAAAAAGCUGGGAAGAGAUUUCCUUGCAAGCUAGCACCACUGGGACCUACAGGACACAAAAAGGAAAAACUUGCUUCUCCUGAUACCUUCCCAUUCUUUUAUAUGGCUAGAGGAGGAGGGCAUUGGAAAGAUGCAUGUAAAACUGCUAUGGGACCGUUUGUGGCGUGGCAGCCAUUUUGCAGCAGAGCACAGCUUAGAUUUUGGUGGAAAAUGAGCGUUUGCCAGCAAAGCAGUGGCCAUCUCCCUGCUAAAAACCUCAGAGGCACCUCAAUGCUUAGGUUUUUGAUUCCGAAAACCAAGGCAAGCUCCCGGGGGCAAGAUAGGACUGUUAGAAGAGCUGGCAGGCCUGAGGUGCAGCCGUUGGAGUGCAUGUGUGAGGAACUGCGCAGGUGCGAUCGUUGCAUGCACUUAGCUGAGUAG